GGCAUGAAAUUAUACAAGAGAUGUUUAUGGCCUACUACUUGUUACAUCAAUUCACUAAUAAUAGUUAAAAAAUUAUUGUGCAGAAGGUGCAAAUUAUAAAUACAAUACAACAAUAAAUGCACUAAAUAUAAAGAGAGUAAAAGAGUUAUUUGUCACCACCCCUUAGCAUUGUUUUGCACCCCUGUUCGGUGGAAAUCUGUGGAAAAGGUUGCAGAAAAAUUAGAUAGGAAGAUUUGAGAGGAAAUAGAAUAUGCGUAAUAUAUGGAACUGAAGGAAACGAUUGGAGUAAAACUUGUUCAGCGUUUAAUAAGUAUGCUUUAGAAAAUUGAAUAAAGAUGAUUACAUGCAUCGUAAUUGACAACCAGAACAAAACGAUUAACAUCGACCAGUGUAAUGUGGCUUGUGUGUGAUUUUCCUAUAUAAAAUAUGAUAUAAUGGACAACGACCAACAGGGAAACAAUUGAAAUCUGUUACUUUUUCAAAUUUGAAAUUCAUACAAGAUGCUGUGAAAGUAAUUUGUAUGAGUUACAGGAAAAUAAUGAUUAAUAUCUAUUAAAAUAAGAAUUAAUAUCCAA